GAUGAACGCUGGCGGCGUGCUUAACACAUGCAAGUCGAACGAAGCACUUUAACUUGAUUUCUUCGGAUUGAUUGUUAUUGUGACUGAGUGGCGGACGGGUGAGUAACGCGUGGGUAACCUGCCUCAUACAGGGGGAUAACAGUUGGAAACGGCUGCUAAUACCGCAUAAGCGCACGGUAUCGCAUGAUACAGUGUGAAAAACUCCGGUGGUAUGAGAUGGACCCGCGUCUGAUUAGCUAGUUGGCGGAGUAACGGCCCACCAAGGCAACGAUCAGUAGCCGACCUGAGAGGGUGACCAGCCACAUUGGGACUGAGACACGGCCCAAACUCCUACGGGAGGCAGCAGUGGGGAAUAUUGCACAAUGGGCGAAAGCCUGAUGCAGCGACGCCGCGUGAGCGAUGAAGUAUUUCGGUAUGUAAAGCUCUAUCAGCAGGGAANAA
rnacentral:rRNA from 1 species